rnacentral:rRNA from 1 species
UGAGCGGCAAAAGCUCAAAUUUGAAAUCUGGCGUCUUCGACGUCCGAGUUGUAAUUUGAAGAAGGCGACUUUGUAGCUGGUCCUUGUCUAUGUUCCUUGGAACAGGACGUCAUAGAGGGUGAGAAUCCCGUGUGGCGAGGAUCCCAGUUAUUUGUAAAGUGCUUUCGACGAGUCGAGUUGUUUGGGAAUGCAGCUCUAAGUGGGUGGUAAAUUCCAUCUAAAGCUAAAUAUUGGCGAGAGACCGAUAGCGAACAAGUACAGUGAUGGAAAGAUGAAAAGAACUUUGAAAAGAGAGUGAAAAAGUACGUGAAAUUGUUGAAAGGGAAGGGCAUUUGAUCAGACAUGGCGUUUGCUUCGGCUUUCGCUGGGCCAGCAUCAGUUUUAGCGGUUGGAUAAAUCCUCGGGAAUGUGGCUCUGCUUCGGUAGAGUGUUAUAGCCCGUGGGAAUACAGCCAGCUGGGACUGAGGAUUGCGACUUUUGUCAAGGAUGCUGGCGUAAUGGUUAAAUGCCGCCC